GAAAAAGGGGUAGGCAAAUUUCCGAGCAAGUACGACUUAAAAUGGACCAAACACCCUAAAAAGGUGCCAAAAAUGGCCCAGAAACUCCUGGAAUCUGUACAAAAUCACCUAAAAUAUGACAAAAUUCCAAGGAUUGCUGGGAAAAGGAUCAGGAAAAAUCCAGGGACAAUUCAGCCUAACAAAUUUGCACUAAGAGAUGCAAAAACCCCCUAAAAAUCAAUAUGAAAAUGGCCAGAAAUAGUUCUAAAAGCAACACUGAAAUACCCCAAAUUAAUCAAAAUUCUAGGAAUUAUUGCGAAAAACAUCGGUAAAAAACCCAGCAUAAAUUCGGCCUUAACAACCCAGGAAAAUGCCUAAAAAUUCACACUAAGAAAGACAGAAAUCCCCCAGAAAUUGCACAAAAAAUGGCCAGAACAACACCCAACAUCUGCACUACAAAAACAGAAAUGGCCCCAAAGGGGGGGGGGGGGGGGGGGGGGGGGGGGGGGGGGGGGGGGGGGGGGGGGGGGGGGGGGGGGGGGG
rnacentral:lncRNA from 12 species